UCUGCCCCUGCAUGGCUGGGUCCCAGGCAAUGUGUCUCCCCACCACACCUUUCUCCUCUUUCCCACCACACUCCAGCCCCACAGUCCUCUUUCUGCUUCUUUCCCAGCCUCUGGGCUUUUGCACACGCUGUUCCCUCUGCAUGAACACCCUCCACUGGGCUGAGAACAACUCUCUGAGACCUCUCUCAGCUGUUGCUUCCUUUGGAACAGCCGCUGCUGCUGUCCCUCUCCCAGCUCCAAGACCUGCUGAGCCUCCUGUCUUUUUCAGUUCCCAUGCCCCCAGCACUUCUCCUUGGCCUCCUUUGGCCCAAUUGACAAUGUCCAUUCUCAAUGCCUUCUCACUCAGCGCUGAGUCCCACUGGGUGAAGGGAAUGUUUGUCAUGUUCACCACAAUAUCCCCUCCCCCAUCACUACGCCUGGUCCACAGUGAUGCUCAAAAAAGAUCUGUUGGUAGGCAAUGAGAAGGUGCAUUCAUGUCAUCCUGCAGGCGGAAUUCUCCACGAAUUUUGAGCAGCCUCAGUUUUCCCACCACCUCCAAAUCAUGGAAGACACAGGGGAGACCAUCGGGGUGCAACCUGGUUGGGGCAGUGAGGAGGUUCAGGGUCUGGCCAGAGCGGACAUGGCCACAGGCAUGGGACAACAACUGCUUGGGCCUGAGCAGGUGAGCACAGCGCAGGCCCGGGCCCGGCGUGUCCGCGGUGCGAGCGAGCGGCCAGCAGAGGGCGCCAGAGAGCCACGAGCGGCCCGCGGACGAGCCCGCGCCGGCCCCGAUGCCCAGCUCAGUGCGGCGCGGACCCAACGAGCCCGCGGUCAGACGCCCCAGCUCCGCCG
rnacentral:lncRNA from 1 species